GAUUAAACACCAAGUGUAAGAUAUGUAUAUAUAUGAGAACCCACUUGAGGGUUAUUGAAUAACUAAGCUUAAAAUUUUGUUUUGCACACAGUAGGGUGAAAAUACAAACCCACUAGGGUUGGGGCCGCACUUGCACAACGUGGAUGACGCAGAAUGUUCAGACUAGUCGAGCCCAAAAAGGACUUGUGGAUAUUUUAGCUAAUACGUAAUUUAUUUUUUUCAUGUAUAAACCUAGAUGGCGAUAGUCCAGUAGCCCGAAAGAAUCAUUAGCUUACACUCUGGCCCGAGUAGCAUGAGGCACGUGGAAUCCUGUGUGAAUUAGCAAAAGACCACCUUGCAAGGUUAAAUACUCCUUGGUGACUGAUAGGUACGUGAGGGAAGGGUGAAAAGAACCCCCGCCAGGGAGUGAAAUAAAACAUGAAA
rnacentral:ncRNA from 1 species